rnacentral:misc_RNA from 2 species
CAACCCUCAAGCCCCCGUGGUUUGGUGUUGGGGACCGGCGAUCCUCGCUGCCUCGGCAGCGUUGCGCCGCCCCCGAAAUGAAUUGGCGGUCUCGUCGCGGCCUCCUCUGCGUAGUAGCACAACCUCGCAACAGGAGCGCGACGCGGCCACUGCCGUAAAACGCCCAACUUUUUUAG